GAUGAAGAACGCAGCGAAAUGCGAUACGUAAUGUGAAUUGCAGAAUUCAGUGAAUCAUCGAGUCUUUGAACGCACAUUGCGCCCCCUGGUAUUCCGGGGGGCAUGCCUGUCCGAGCGUCAUUGCUGCCCUCAAGCACGGCUUGUGUGUUGGGCCUCCGUCCUCCUCCCGGGGGACGGGCCCGAAAGGCAGCGGCGGCACCGCGUCCGGUCCUCGAGCGUAUGGGGCUUCGUCACCCGCUCUUGUAGGCCCGGCCGGCGCUUGCCGACACAUCAAUCUUUUUUCCAGGUUGACCUCGGAUCAGGUAGGGAUACCCGCUAAACUUAAGCAUAUCAAUAAGCGGAGGA
rnacentral:misc_RNA from 1 species